UUAGGUUAAGUUAUGAAGGGCGCAUGGUGGAUGCCUUGGCACUAGGAGCUGAUGAAGGACGGGACUAACACCGAUAUGCUUCGGGGAGCUGUACGUAAGCUUUGAUCCGGAGAUYUCCGAAUGAGGAAACUCGAUAACCUUAAUCGGUUAUCACCAAUUAGUGAAUUAAUUAGCUAAUUUGGCGGCAGACGUGGGGAACUGAAACAUCUAAGUACCCACAGGAAGAGAAAGAAAUUUCGAUUCCCUAAGUAGCGGCGAGCGAACGGGGAACAGCUCAAACCAAAGAGCUUGCUCUUUGGGGUUGUAGGACUGAACAUUUGAGUUACCAAGUUAAACGAUAAUCGAAUUAUCUGGGAAGRUAAGCGAUACAGGGUGAUAGCCCCGUAGAUGAAAUCWUUUAACCUCAGUUCAGGAUCCUGAGUACAGCGAYACACGUGGAACGUCGUUGGAAUCCGGGAGGACCAUCUCCCAAAGCUAAAUACUCCCUAGUGACCGAUAGUGAACCAGUACCGUGAGGGAAAGGUGAAAAGCACCCCGGAAGGGGAGUGAAAUAGUUCCUGAAACCAUGUGCUUACAAACAGUUAGAGCCCGUUAAUGGGUGAUAGCGUGCCUCUUGUAGAAUGAACCGGCGAGUUAUGUUAACAUGCAAGGUUAAGAUGAAAAGAUUGGAGCCAUAGCGAAAGCGAGUCUGAAUAGGGCGUUUGAGUAUGUUGAGAUAGACCCGAAACCAGGUGAUCUACCCAUGUUCAGGCUGAAAGUGCGGUAAAACGCACCGGAGGGCCGAACUCGUGUACGUUGAAAAGUGCUGAGAUGAAAUGUGGGUAGCGGUGAAAUUCCAAACGAACUUGGAGAUAGCUGGUUCUCUCCGAAAUAGCUUUAGGGCUAGCCUCGGACUUAGAAUCAUGGAGGUAGAGCCACUGUUUGGAUGAGGGGCCCGUCAUGGGUUACUAAAUUCAGAUAAACUCCGAAUACCAUUGAUUUAUAUGUCCGGGAGUCAGACGAUGAGUGAUAAGAUCCACYGUCGAAAGGGGAACAGCCCAGACCACCAAUUAAGGUCCCUAAAUAUAUGCUGAGUGGAAAAGGAUGUGAAGUUGCAUAGACAACUAGGAUGUUGGCUCAGAAGCAGCCACCAUUUAAAGAGUGCGUAAUAGCUCACUAGUCGAGUGAUUUUGCGCCGAAAAUUUACCGGGGCUAAGCAUAUUACCGAGAUUGUGGACAUGACGUAGUCAUGUGAUAGGAGAGCGUUCUAAGGGCAACGAAGUUAGACCGUAAGGACUGAUGGAGCGCUUAGAAGUGAGAAUGCCGGUAUGAGUAGCGAAAGAUUAGUGAGAAUCUAAUCCACCGAAUGACUAAGGUUUCCUGGGGAAGGCUCGUCCUCCCAGGGUAAGUCGGGACCUAAGCCGAGGCCUAGAGGCGUAGGCGAUGGAUAACAGGUUGAAAUU
rnacentral:rRNA from 1 species